rnacentral:rRNA from 1 species
UACGUAGGGGGCAAGCGUUGUCCGGAUUUAUUGAGCGUAAAGAGCGUGUAGGCGGCCAGGGAGGUCCGUUGUGAAAACUCGAGGCUCAACCUCGAGACGCCGAUGGAAACCCCCUGGCUAGAGUCCGGAAGAGGAGAAUGGAAUUCCUGGUGUAGCGGUGAAAUGCGCAGAUAUCAGGAAGAACACCCGUGGCUAAGGCGGUUCUCUAGUACGGUACUGACGCUGAGACGCGAAAGCGUGGGGAGCGAACAGG